rnacentral:rRNA from 1 species
AGGAUGAACGCUGGCGGUCUGCUUAACACAUGCAAGUCGAGCGGAAAGGCCCUUCGGGGUACUCGAGCGGCGAACGGGUGAGUAACACGUGAGCAACCUGCCCUUAGCUUCGGGAUAGCUCCGGGAAAACCGGAAUUAAUACCGAAUAUGAAUGCGGCUGACAUCAGCCACAUUGGAAAGUUUUUCGGCUAGGGAUGGACUCGCGGCCUAUCAGCUAGUUGGUGAGGUAACGGCCCACCAAGGCGACGACGGGUAGCCGGCCUGAGAGGGCGACCGGCCACACUGGGACUGAGACACGGCCCAGACUCCUACGGGAGCAGCAGUGGGGAAUAUUGCGCAAUGGGCGAAAGCCUGACGCAGCGACGCCGCGUGGGGGAUGAAUGCCUUCGGGUUCGUUAAACCCCUUUCAGCAGGGACGAAGCGAAAGUGACGGUACCUGCAGAAGAAGCGCCGGCUAACUACGCGCCAGCAGCGCGGUAA